rnacentral:tRNA from 1 species
UGGGGUGUAGUUGAGUGGGAAAGUGCUUGGCUAGCAUUUGUGGUAUCCUGGGUUCUAUCCCCAGCACCUCUA